rnacentral:SRP_RNA from 1 species
GGUGAGGUCCCGUGCGACGUCGCGCCGUGAACCUGGUCAGGGCCGGAAGGCAGCAGCCAUAAGCGGUCAGCGACGGGCGCCGCGGUCACGCCGCACUUCG